rnacentral:rRNA from 1 species
AGCCAAUAGAUACCCGGGUAGUCCACGCCCUAAACGAUGUCUACUAGUUGUUGGUGGAGUAAAAUCCAUGAGUAAACGCAGCUAAACGCGUGAAGUAGACCGCCUGGGGAGUACGGUCGCAAGAUUAAAACUCAAAGGAAUUGACGGGGGCCCGGCACAAGCGGUGGAUUGUGUGGAUUAAAUUCGAUGCAACGCGAAAAACCUUAACCUGGCCUUGACAUGCCACUAACGAAGCAGAGAUGCAUUAGGUGCCCGUAAGGGAAAGUGGACACAGGUGCUGCAUGGCUGUCGUCAGCUCGUGUCGUGAGAUGUUGGGUUAAGUCCCGCAACGAGCGCAACCCUUGCCAUUAAUUGCCAUCAUUUAGUUGGGCACUUUAAUGGGACUGCCGGUGACAAACCGGAGGAAGGUGGGGAUGACGUCAAGUCCUCAUGGCCCUUAUGGCCA